GGGCCAUUAGAACUGCAGUUCGACGGACUUAACUCAUUCUUUUAGAUUGAGAGCGGUUAGUGGCGGACUGGUGAGUAACACGUAAGCAACCUGCCUAUCAGAGGGGAAUAACAGUGAGAAAUCAUUGCUAAUACCGCAUAUGCUCACAGUAUCACAUGAUACAGUGAGGAAAGGAGUAAUCCGCUGAUAGAUGGGCUUGCGUCUGAUUAGUUAGUUGGUGGGGUAACGGCCUACCAAGACUACGAUCAGUAGCCGGACUGAGAGGUUGAACGGCCACAUUGGGACUGAGAUACGGCCCAGACUCCUACGGGAGGCAGCAGUCGGGAAUAUUGCGCAAUGGAGGAAACUCUGACGCAGUGACGCCGCGUAUAGGAAGAAGGUUUUCGGAUUGUAAACUAUUGUCAUUAGGGAAGAUAAAAGACUGUACCUAAGGAGGAAGCCCCGGCUAACUAUGUGCCAGCAGCCGCGGUAAUACAUGGGGGGCAAGCGUUAUCCGGAAUUAUUGGGUGUAAAGGGUGCGUAGACGGAAGAACAAGUUGGUUGUGAAAUCCCUCGGCUCAACUGAGGAACUGCAACCAAAACUAUUCUCCUUGAGUGUCGGAGAGGAAAGUGGAAUUCCUAGUGUAGCGGUGAAAUGCGUAGAUAUUANGAGGAACACCAGUGGCGAAGGCGACUUUCUGGACGAUAACUGACGUUGAGGCACGAAAGUGUGGGGAGCAAACAGGAUUAGAUACCCUGGUAGUCCACACU
rnacentral:rRNA from 1 species